rnacentral:rRNA from 1 species
UAGACCGCCUGGGGAGUACGGCCGCAAGGUUAAAACUCAAAUGAAUUGACGGGGGCCCGCACAAGCGGUGGAGCAUGUGGUUUAAUUCGAUGCAACGCGAAGAACCUUACCUGGUCUUGACAUCCACGGAAGUUUUCAGAGAUGAGAAUGUGCCUUCGGGAACUGUGAGACAGGUGCUGCAUGGCUGUCGUCAGCUCGUGUUGUGAAAUGUUGGGUUAAGUCCCGCAACGAGCGCAACCCUUAUCCUUUGUUGCCAGCGAUUAGGUCGGGAACUCAAAGGAGACUGCCAGUGAUAAACUGGAGGAAGGUGGGGAUGACGUCAAGUCAUCAUGGCCCUUACGACCAGGGCUACACACGUGCUACAAUGGCGCAUACAAAGAGAAGCGACCUCGC